AUUGAACGCUAGCGGCAUGCCUUACACAUGCAAGUCGAACGGAGUGGCGAACGGGUGAGUAAUGUAUCGGACCGUGCCCAGUAGCGGGGGAUAAGUACGCGAAAGCGUAGCUAAUACCGCAUACUAGUGGAGAGGCCGAUAUCGGAUUAGGUAGUUGGUGGGGUAACGGCUAACCAAGGCGACGAGCCGUAGCUGGUGUGAGAGGACGACCAGCCACACUGGGACUGAGACACGGCCCAGACUCCUACGGGAGGCAGCAUGGGGGAAUUUUGGACAAUGGGGGAAACCCUGAUCCAGCCAUCCCGCUUGUGCGAUGAAGGCCUGCGGGUUGUAAAGCACUUUUGGCAGGAAAGCGGUACCUGCAGAAUAAGCACCGGCUAACUACGUGCCAGCCGCCGCGGUAAUUC
rnacentral:rRNA from 1 species